UACGAAGGGUGCAAGCGUUAAUCGGAAUUACUGGGCGUAAAGCGCGCGUAGGUGGUUUGUUAAGUUGAAUGUGAAAGCCCCGGGCUCAACCUGGGAACUGCAUCCAAAACUGGCAAGCUAGAGUAUGGCAGAGGGUGGUGGAAUUUCCUGUGUAGCGGUGAAAUGCGUAGAUAUAGGAAGGAACACCAGUGGCGAAGGCGACCACCUGGACUGAUACUGACACUGAGGUGCGAAAGCGUGGGGAGCAAACAGG
rnacentral:rRNA from 1 species